GAGAGGAGUAGGUGGUGGAGGAACAAAGGGCUGUUGCCAUCUCAGUCAGAGUCCUGGAAAGCAGGAGCUUUACUCAUGUCUAGGGCAUAAAAUCACAGUAAAUGGGUGAGCUGAGCUGAAUACCUUAUUGAUUUUUAAUUAGAGAUGAGAUGUUGCUCCCUUGGAGAGGAAAAUUGCUGCAGCACCAGUGAGCCUUGUGGCAGUUCCAGGUAACACAGGGGAUUGGUGGUUCCACUACAGCCAGUGAAAUUAUUUGCAUUUGAGGAGGGCAAGUGGAAUAAACCUUCAAAGAGUACUCUGACUCCUCAUGUUUCAGUUCUGGAUUGAUGCAGAAUGGUUUGAGAAAGACCAUGUGCACUUUUUAAUUCUUGGUGUGUGAAUAUCCAGAUUCCUUUCAUUCCUACUCUUGGCCUUUUAAUUUUCUGUGGAUCUGUGUAUCUAGAGUACCCUAAAUGUGGGCAAAUUUCCUUUCAGUAUCUGAAUGGGGCUACA